CUAAUUGUAAACUUCACCUUAGAGGCUGUCACAUAGUAACUGUCUAGAAAAUAAACGCAGAAGCUGCGCUGCUGAGCUUUUUUUUCAGCUUAAAUGGAUACAGAAUAGAAGAAAAAACAGCACCAUUAUUCAAUCCGCACAGUAAAUUGGUAUAUUGGACAGCCAACAUUGAAACAGGAAAGGAAAUAAUAAGUAACAAAGUAGAACAUCUAUUUAAAAAUCCUACUCAUCGUGCACUAAUUUUCAGUGUAAAAAGAUUAAAGACUAGUCAUUAUACUUCACUU
rnacentral:lncRNA from 1 species